UAAUACAGAGGUGGCGAGCGUUAUUCGGAAUUAUUGGGCGUAAAGGGCGCGUAGGCGGCCAAGCAAGUCCUGGGUGAAAUCCCUCGGCUCAACCGAGGAACUGCCUCGGAAACUGCAUGGCUCGAGGCCGGGAGAGGGUAGCGGAAUUCCCAGUGUAGCGGUGAAAUGCGUAGAUAUUGGGAGGAACACCGGUGGCGAAGGCGGCUACCUGGACCGGUUCUGACGCUGAUGCGCGAAAGCGUGGGGAGCAAACAGGAUUAGAUACCCUGGUAGUCCACGCUGUAAACGAUGGGUGCUCGGUGUCGCGGGUAUCGACCCCUGCGGUGCCUUAGCUAACGCGUUAAGCACCCCGCCUGGGGAGUACGGUCGCAAGGCUG
rnacentral:rRNA from 1 species